UGAUUCUUAUUGACUGAGAAGAGUUAUGGAUUUUGUUAGCAGACCCCCAUCACAAAGAUAUAUGCUAGGAAAAAUAAGGGAGAGAGGGUUCUGUUAUCAAUAACCCAACAGUUGACUGCUGUCCUAGACUCCUUGCAGUUAGUUAUAGCAUCUAACUGAACUGGUUAGCGGCCGGAGCUCUAUCAGAAUUAGGAUGAAGGAUGGAGUGGCAGAAUGUAUAACUGUUGCAACCUCAUCACCAACAACCUUAACUGAAUAACUGCAUACAAAGCAAACCCACUCUAAUGUUAAUUACACACAUUAUAUGAUGUAUAGAACUCUCUUCUCCAAAUUGACGAUCGCCAUUGUCUUAGAGCCGGGUAACCCAUCUAUGAAGAGCCAAAUAAAGGCAUUAGCUGCUGUGGAGGGUCCCGAAAUCGAUCAUUAUCAAACCAUCCAAAUUUCGUGAGUCGACACAAAAGUUGGAUCAAAGAAGCAGUCACAAAAGGCUGCAACUAAGGUCCUCUGGUCGCUAGGUAGUUGAUGAGGUAGGUCCCUGAAAAUUGACAUGCAUUGCCAAGAAAACCAUGAAUUCCAGCAAUUUGAAUCACUGAAGAAGAAGAAGAAGCCAGAAAAGAAAAGAAAAAGAAGUGUUACAUAUAUCAAGGCGAAGUUUCAAAGCGAGGCUGUGAUCGGUGACUUGUUUCAACAAACUACAACUAGCUAGCAUCAAUGCAUAGGGAGUCAAGGCAUGAUCGAGUCCUAUAAAUCUUUCCAAGUGGAGACUCUUCCGGGUGAUUAAAAUUUGCAUCUUUCCAAGUUCUAACACUAUUUAAUUUCAAUCAAUCUUAAGUUGACACCACAUAGCAGUAUUGAAACCCUUCCUAUAAAUCUUUGUUAGCUCAUGUGGUUUAUCUGUAAUAUCUGGAACUUUUUCGUAGUUCGAGGCCCCCAAAAAUCUUCCCAUAAACCUGGAUUGACGUCAACAAGUACUGCUACCAAGGGUAGACAUUCUUCUCCUCUUCCAUCUCCACGGGCUGCUUCACCCUUUCCACUGGGAACUGUGAAUAUCUCUAAGAACCUUGAUGAUGUUGUGCCAUCACAAAUGAUUGCAAACAAGGUACUAAUGCUGUUGCUGAGAAAGAAAUCCCUGCCAAAACAAGCAAUGCUAUGAGCUAGGAAGACACCAGGAGGCAAAGGAAAUAUUGGAUUGAAACCAAUAGAUUUGCAGGGCAUGUUAAUAUCUCUUCUAAAGGAUAAGCCCACUGGAAUGACUCUAAAGGUGUUGUAUAUAUAAUGUAUGGUUCUUGUUAGUUUUUUUUUAAACAUCUCUAACUUUUUUAUUAAUCUAAUUUCAUCUUAACUGCUUUGACAUUUUGGUCAUAGACCAUAGAGA